rnacentral:snRNA from 1 species
AUGCUCUGGGUUCUCUUCAUAACGAAUAAAUCUUUCGCUUUUUACUAAAGAUUUCCGUGGAGAGGAACAGUUAGAGUUUUUAACUGAAUCUUUUGAUGUCCUGCUUAGGCAGGAGU